UCCUUAUUCUCUCUGAGGAUAGCUAAAAAUUUUUCCUCUUGGAUUUGAUCAAGGUCUGAUGCGAUGAUUACGGGUAGAGUUUCUGAUGGACCUAGAUACACAUAUUUGAGGUGCUCAAGGAGUGUUUUGAGUUUUAGUUUUGGUGCUUCCUCAAUCGAUGGCUUGUGUAUUGGUUCAUCCAUCCUUACAAGUGGUUUGACAGGUGGUUGCCAUUGGGAUGAACUCUCUGAUCACUAGAUGAAAAAAUUUUAUAAGCUAUUUCAAAUUCUUGGUCUGAUCAGAGAUUAUAGUCAAAAUCUUCUUCUCCU
rnacentral:lncRNA from 1 species